UCCCCCGUAGUUUAACUGGCAAAACACCUGAUUCUGGGUCAGACGUUCUUGGUUCAAAUCCAGGCGGGGGAGC
rnacentral:tRNA from 2 species